rnacentral:pre_miRNA from 1 species
UGGAUAGAUUAUUAUAUUUGACUGUAUUCACGGCGUGAAAUAGGGGAUUACACUGUUUUUAAAACGGAAAGUGAAUCAAUUAACAUAAUAGACUCCU